rnacentral:rRNA from 1 species
AACGAACGCUGGCGGCAUGCCUAACACAUGCAAGUCGAACGAGACCUUCGGGUCUAGUGGCGCACGGGUGCGUAACGCGUGGGAAUCUGCCCUCUGGUUCGGAACAACAGUUGGAAACGACUGCUAAUACCGGAUAAUGACUUCGGUCCAAAGAUUUAUCGCCUGAGGAUGAGCCCGCGUCGGAUUAGCUUGUUGGUGAGGUAAAAGCUCACCAAGGCGACGAUCCGUAGCUGGUCUGAGAGGAUGAUCAGCCACGCUGGGACUGAGACACGGCCCAGACUCCUACGGGAGGCAGCAGUGGGGAAUAUUGGACAAUGGGCGAAAGCCUGAUCCAGCAAUGCCGCGUGAGUGAUGAAGGCCUUAGGGUUGUAAAGCUCUUUUACCCGGGAUGAUAAUGACAGUACCGGGAGAAUAAGCCCCGGCUAACUCCGUGCCAGCCGCCGCCGUAAUAC